rnacentral:sRNA from 1 species
GCUGGGGGAUGAGAGCUGCACCGCGCGGGACAAGUCGCCGGCGGCGCCCGACGGAGCAGAAGAGAGAGCAUGGAGCUGGAGAGGAUCGUCAGUGCAGCCCUCCUUGCCUUUGUCCAGACACACCUCCCGGAGGCCGACCUCAGUGGCUUGGAUGAGGUCAUCUUCUCCUAUGUGCUUGGGGUCCUGGAGGACCUGGGCCCCUCGGGCCCAUCAGAGGAGAACUUCGAUAUGGAGGCUUUCACUGAGAUGAUGGAGGCCUAUGUGCCUGGCUUCGCCCACAUCCCCAGGGGCACAAUAGGGGACAUGAUGCAGAAGCUCUCAGGGCAGCUGAGCGAUGCCAGGAACAAAGAGAACCUGCAACCGCAGAGCUCUGGUGUCCAAGGUCAGGUGCCCAUCUCCCCAGAGCCCCUGCAGCGGCCCGAAAUGCUCAAAGAAGAGACUCGGUCUUCGGCUGCUGCUGCUGCAGACACCCAAGAUGAGGUACUGGUAGAGGAGGGUACCAAUGAGGGACCCAGGGGGCUGGAAAGGGGGGAGUAUUGCCUCUUGUUAACGUUUGUACCCUUAGGCAACUGGCGCUGAGGAGGAGCUUCUGCCAGGGGUGGAUGUACUCCUGGAGGUGUUCCCUACCUGUUCGGUGGAGCAGGCCCAGUGGGUGCUGGCCAAAGCUCGGGGGGACUUGGAAGAAGCUGUGCAGAUGCUGGUAGAGGGAAAGG